rnacentral:tRNA from 1 species
AGGCCGCUAGCUCAAUGGUUAGAGCAGCACUCAUAUAAGGUGCAUGUUCCAGGUUCGAGUCCUGGGCGGCCUA